GCAAAUAUAUCCAGGCUAAAAACUGGAAUUGGUGAAAAAGAUCUUGAUGUCAUUGCAGAAGACUUGCCAGAAAUAGUAAACUGAAGGCGAAGGCUUGAUAUGCUGGAGACUAUGAUGGCAGCCAAUCUGAGUGAUUCUCCAAUCUGGGGGUCUAAAAAGCUCGAGACUAUUGCUCUGAAAUGGACACCGGUCACUAUACUCGUUGUCGUUGCUGUUGUUCUUCUGUGGAGCAGUUCUGUUCACAGGGAAGAAUUCCAAUGACUGGUUUUUAAGAUAGAUACAGAAGAAUAGCUGCUAAUUAAUUAGACCUUUUUUCUUACAGACUUUCAAUAUUCUGAAUUUGAACAUAAUUGAUUUCGUGUUUUAUUGUCUCCAUUAUUGAUCUCUAACAGUGUAAUUAGAACUUAGAAGUUCGUUAUUCUUCCCUGAAA